CGCUCCUUCAAGAGUUCAUCUUGUGAGCCCAGGACAGGAUGAACCCAAAUAACUUCACAGCCCUUGGGAGGUACAGCAGUUAAAGCACACUGACUGGUCUCUGAGGAACUUUUGGACUCCCUUUCUGAAUCGUGGAGAGACGGCAUCGCUUACGCAAGCAAUGAAACAACCUCUUUCCCCACCGUUUGGUAAUGCUACAAGUUUACAGCAAACCAGCAAAGAUCACACGACCUCCUGGAGGACAAAGGGCUACAAGCAACAAACUAGAUGAUUUUCAGGUUGGUCCUAUGUACUGCAUCCAGUCUGGAUCUCUGAAGAUUUUCAAAUGGAACAGAUCAGCACCCAAAUCCUUCUAAAAGAGGAGCUACAGGAAGACUUCUCACAGAGAUAUUCAUUUUGCCACUACAACUACUAUAACGAGGGCAUUCUCUCAACAAAUGACUGGAAGUUGACAAGCUGUGAAAAGUAAUCCAUCGCUGCUUAAGAAUGGAGAUCAUUGCUUAUCCAUAAUGAUGUGACUGGCUAAAAGAGUGCUUUAUAGCAAAAAAAUAGGUUGAAAUUAAAUAAAGGUAUCCCGUGAAAUUCGAUAUUCCAAAAUAUUACUAUCAUAUUAUGGUGAGGUAAUCGUGAAUUUGAAUACAAUUUCAUGAUACAAUUUGUUUUCUACUCCCACAAGUUCGGCCUCAUAAUUACAUGUUCAUUUAUGAUGUUAUAACUCAUACUCGUGUUUUCUUCCUUGCAGUACAUCCUAUCACUUCUCCAAUGCUUUCCUUUUACAAAAGGGAACAAAAGUUACUCUUAAAAGACAGUGUCUUGUAAAGUUAACCAAAAGUAAAAGACUGAAUCUUUUAUUUACACAGUUCUAGGAACUACUGAGUAGUCCACUACUCUUGCAAAUAAUAUUUUUUUGAGAAAGAUUAUAGUCCUAGAUCUCAAGUUGGUAUUACAAAAGCAGAAUGUAUGUAAUGUGCAACAUUUUGAACAUGGGAUUAAAUCUGGGAUUAAUCUAGAUUUACAUUUAAAUUAACUUUAAUAUCAGCAGGAGUCCUGUGGUUAAUUCUGGGUGCACAGGCAGGGGGGUAGAUUGAGGCCAGCUGAGAGCGAAUCAAUGUGAUUCUUAUCUUAAAGUCAGGUUUUGUUGAGAAUAUCUAAUUUAGUUAUCGGCACCAGCUAUUUAACCUGCACUCCAGCCACUUUGCUGGAGCAUCGGUUAUCUCAGGUAACUAACGAGCAGCAUAGGACCCUUAAAGGCUUUAAUACAAGGAAGGUUUUUAGUGAUUCCCUGAUCUGGUCUGCAAUUGACUCCUGUGGCUGGCAUGCGAACCAAGACUGAAGCAAGCUGUAGCAAACGCUUUUUCAGAGUAAGGGUUUCAUGAAGUUUGCAUUUAUGCCUAGCGAAGAGGCCAAAGCAGUAGACAAGUUCCCAUGUAUUAAUCUUGAGAUAGAUCUAAUUGCCAUUUCUACUCAAGACUUGCAUGUGCAGCCACAAGCAUUGUCUGUAAUUCAUGCUGAAGGAGAGGAUACUGUGUGAAUACUCCCUCAGUUGGUCUCUGUAUUUUAAUCGGAGACUUUAUGGGGAACGCAAAAGUGGUACCAAGGAAAACAGAAAUAAGCAAAGGGAAAAUGUUUGUUGUUCAGUUAACCAAAAACUCAAAUUGGAAAUGGGAUUUUUCAGGGAGUGAAGUGAAAUUCAGUCUAAUGGACUUCGUUUUCCCAAUCACCGUAUUAUGAUCAAUUAAUUAGCCUUUAAUUUGCAGCAGUGAUCAGAAUAUCUUCAUACUUAUUUUCAUGCAUGCUACAUACGUGCAUACGUCUUUUCAUGCAUUCUACUAAAAACCCUGUAUCUUCUAGCACAAGAAACUGAAAAUAUUAACAGAAGAAUAUUUGUUUUACAGAUCUUGGGAGGGGAGGAGGGGAAGAGUGAUUAUAUGAAUCCUCUGUAAAGGCUGGAAGAGAGAUUACAUGUGUAGAAGUUUUUUAGAUCCACAAACACAUUGGAAGUUUACUUCCUAUUUCAGUGGAAGCUCACGACACCUACCUUAAAUGAUGAUUAACUAUCUUUCUGUCCAUUUUGGCAGUGACACAGUUAAGAAGAGAUCAGGAGUAGAAAUACACAGCAGCUGAUACACAAAGUUGAAAAAACAGUUGAGUGAAAUUACAUUAAUGAAGCAGCAGAAAGAAUGGAGAGAAGUGGCAUGUUAAUAUAUUACAUUAUUUCAAGUGAUUUGUUGUUUUUGUUUGAUAUUUCCAAACUCUCACACUAAAUAGAUAACUACUUAAUUGUUAAGUUACUACUUCUAAAAUUCAUUUCUUAGUUUCUCCAGUAUCCCCAGCAAUUUUUCAAUUUAUUCCACUUGGUAAGUUGUUGCUUUUCUGUUGUUGUUCUUUCUCUCUGCUUCUUCCCACUCUGUUUACAGUCUUUUAAAUAAUUGGCUUUGGUUUUGAAUAUAUUUAAGCACUCUUUUAGUCAUAUGAGUGACUCCAACUCAUUUUGACACACUAUUGAUAAUACACUUGUUGUAGCUAUACUUUGACCUCUAUCCCAACUACUGUGAAGGGCUCAGUUACGAGAGCUCACUACUUACUCUAUGCUGGACCCAGCUGAAGGGCUGGCUAUGUGAGUGGAAGCUGGCAGUGGGCACAGAUGACCUUCUGAACUGUCCCAGGAAUGAACUUUGUGUUUGCUGUUUGAAUUCGUCCGUGGACAUACUGCUUGUUACAGAUCAAACACGACGUAUGUCAGGUAGAUCUAGUGCAUGAUCGUGCUCCAUCUUCUUUUCUUAACCACUACAGAUAAGAUCCUUUACUACGGAUUUUUUUCUAAAUUACAUCCAAAUGCCUGAAACCAAAUAUGUAGGAUGUAUAAGCAAUACAAUAUUAAUUAGUUCCUACUGAGUUAGUCAGAAAAGAGGAACAAAAUAGAGCUUAUUUUCUAAAACGUAAUGAUGUACACUGAAAUUUUAGAUUUACUAAAAGCCACUGCACUGUGCCAUCCUUCAGAGUAAAUGGACUGCUAGAUUCAUUCUUGACAUCACUGCUGAAUCAGCAAAAAUAAACCCUGAAUCCCAUCUAGGUCAUGGACUCAAAUGGCUCACCGAAUACACUGCAUCAGAGGAAGUUCAUUUUGACCUGAGUCAUUCAGGACACGGGGAAACAUUUCCUAGGGAAAACAAUAUUCGAUAUACAAGCUAGCAUAGUUACACAGUUAAUCAGAUACUUUGGAGAUGAUCAUAUUAUAGAGCACAUAAAGGAGAAAAAAAAUGAAAGCGGUUAACUUUACCUACAUACUCCUUACAAUACUACUAACAAUAACAAUUAACCAAGAUAAUAUUUUUGAAUUGGACUAUAUGUUAAGAAUUAGAAAGCAAAAUUUAGAUCAGAAAGUUUUAAAAAGUAAACAUUGCUGAUAACAAGCUUUUUAAAAUUCAUGAUAUACCUUCAUAUUACAGCUCUUAUUUAAGCUUUGCUCUGCCAGUUACCAUUGUCAAAAUAUACAGCAGUACUUAAUAAGACAAGACUAGACUUAACUAUUGACUUCCAUAAUGAAACAUGAAGAUAAAAAUGAGGCUUGGUGUAAUUUAUAAGAGAGAAAAUGAUGUACUAAAAGCAAGACACUAAAUCAAUUUUAAACACCAAACACAAUUUAUGUCUGACUUUAAAACUCAUCCUCAAGACAUUAAUCUAGACAAAGGCCAGAAACUGAAUGAGGCAUAAUUUGUGAAACUGAUACCUUUCAUCACAACCUCUGGCUGAAAAGGUCAUUAGAUAUAUUAUAUCUAAGUGAGCAGCUUAUCCCUGCUUCAUUACUGAUAAUUAAGGCAAGUAAUAUUUUCUUGACAGUAAUGUGUCCAGUAAGAGAUAUCGUCUAGUUUGCAUAAACCAGACAUUAAUUACCAGAAUAGUAUCAGAGAUAAAAAAAAAUUAAGUACCUGUGUAACAUCAUUUCAUUAUUUUUUCUUCAUUUCCUUAAAGAAUUAGCAGGCUCAGAAACAUAAUGAGCAUAUUAAGAAAUCCAUUUCCAAGCAUUUAUUCAGAUCCUUAAUACACAUUACACAAAUGUAUUUUUUGUAUAUACAUAAACAGAAAUGAAGGCACUUUGGAAUACAAACAUUAUUUGAAUAUUUUGUAAUCUUGCUUUACUAGAGCAAAAUUUGUGGGUGAAGCACAGUGAUUAAAUAACAGGUUUGUAUUUGGACUUCAUUUCGAAUGUUAAGACCUGCAUAUAGAAAAACUCACAAAUGACUCCAAGACCUCUGUCCUGCUUCACCCUGUUUGCAUAAAUGGUAGUUCUGUUACACAGAAUGGGCUACGCGUGUCCGUGUGACGAUGACAAAUCUGUCACUUAGCUCACAGCCUAUUAAAUAGCUUUCAUUUCUCAGUUGAAGCAUCGCUCAGCGUUUUUAGACGCUAUGUUGAACAGCAUUUGGAAAAGAGAAAAAAGAAAGGUUCUAUUAAACUGUUCUGCGAUAGUUUAUUCACUGAGGUACGUCAUCUAUCUCACUUCAUUCUACCUAUAGACAAAUGUUAUCUACAGAGGUUUUGCCCUCAGUCCUAGCAACAGCUAUAAAGGCUGUUGCCAAUCCAUGCCAUACAG